GAGAAACUUAAAAACCGCAAACUUUUGUCAUGGCACUGAUUCAAACGAACAAUAGCGAUAUCCAUAAACAAAAAGGACAACUAUAAAAAUUGACGUUGAAGCGACAGGGUUAAAGGACAGCAUAUUGAAUUUACGGGGAGAUCAUCAAUGCGUGAAAGCAAACUCACGAGACCAUCUCCAGCAUCCAGUUCUAAAGGACAGGAUUGAAAAACUUAGCUAUGAUUUCAACAAGGAUCUGCCAACGCCUCCUAAUUAACCAUGCGAGCCUGAAGUGUAAGCUUGACAUGCAUGUUGAAGGAGUUUUCGCACCCUGGAGAAGAAAAGCAAGGACGAGGAACUGGAACUGGAUAUAAUAAGAAACUCAAAAGGUCAAGGACCGGCCUGAAACGAAGGAGAAGAUGCAAGCACUACAGGCAGAAGUUCAAAAGUCAGGGGCUGCCAGUUAUGAAGAUUUAGAUGAACAUGGUUAACACCAUCUAUCAGGAGAAGAGCAUAGCGAAGAUGAAGAAAGAUAUAGAGUGGGAAUUUUCAAAAGUCCAUGGAUUUGAUUGCCGAGACUGUGAAGGCAAAGGAACUUACCGGUCAUGACCUGAAGGCUGCCGGCUGAGGCCAAAUGACGAGUGACGAGACAUCCAAAUAUUUCAGAUCACAUGAGAUCUUCUUCUGUCAUUAUUUUGUUUAAAUAAGAUGGAUGAUAUAUACAUCGUAUAUCAAGAGUGAUAUAAG
rnacentral:lncRNA from 1 species